rnacentral:rRNA from 1 species
CAGCACUAGUAGUUGAACGUAUCUGCGAAUUCCCAAAUUUACGGGGCUAAAACAUGACAAGCACUAAAUUAGUGCUAGUAGUUGGACUAAUGCACGAAAUCCCGAUAAUAAAAGGAUUUUUCUGCAAUCUAGCCUAUAACCCGUUGGGUAUUUUUUUCCUAGUCGUUGCAACAUGGGCCACAGCCCACGAGGCCUUUCGGCCCAGGCCCAUGGCGGCGCCACUGAUGGAGACAUCGAGCGGAUAAGGGGGACUGGGAGGUGGGGCGGUUGGGGUCAAUCCCCCCCAUUCCACCGCCACCUCCACGGGAUCCCGCCGGCCGCCGCCGAUGGCGCCCAGCGCCGGCGAUCUUCAGGAGGAGGAGGGUCCCCCCGCGGCGUAGCCGGGGAGGUGGAGGCCUGCAGGGGCCCAGGAGCCGGAGCGGAGGCCGGGGCGGUGCUGCUCCAGCGCCGCCGCGAAACGGCAAAGGAUCCGGGGAGCCGCCGGUGGAGGCGUUAGCGGGCUUGCCGGGGGCGGAGGCGGCGGAGAUGCUGGGGCCUUGGAAGACGACGCCGCUUCCUCGAUCUUCACGCAGGUGGCAGUGUUGAGGUCGGGGAUGGUGGCGCCGGGUUCUUUGGUCUCCGCCGGCGUGGUUGGCUCCUGCUUCACAACGGAGUUGAGCCACUGCUCCUCCUCUUCGUUCGGCGUCACCUCCCACUCCAUCAUGGCGGGCACAGGGCCAUAGCCUGGAGGGGCGAAGUGCUCCUCGUCUUCGUCGGCGGGCGUCGGCAUUGGGAGGUCCGGGUAGGCGAGCGGCUCGUCGAUGACCUCCGGUUCUGGUGGUGGAGUGGCCGGCGGUGGAGGGCACGGCCCGUACCCGUGCACGGGGCAGAAAUCGCGGGCAGGGCAAGGGGCGUAUCCGUGCACCAGACAGAAGGCCACGCCUACGUCCAUGCCGUUGCCGGAGAAGAUCCCGGGCGGUGGCGGGGCCUGAGCGGCGUCGAAGAAGUCCUCCUCUCCCAGGAACAGGGCUGCUGCAUCGGCGGGAGCCCAGUCCAUUUGCGGAGCGACGAAGGCCGGCAUCGGGGGUGCCUGGUAGGCGUGGUGGACGGCGGCAGAUGGGUUGCUUGGUCCUGCCUGCUCUGCGGCGGCGGGGCCAGGGUGAUCCUGACGACCACGACGACCACGGCGGCCGUUGCCUGGGCCCCAAUGGCGAGGAACACCAGCACUGUGGCGUCUGGCAGAUCGACGGAUCUCCCGUCAAAUGAAUCGAACAAGGGCAGUGGCGAUUCUAUGCAGGUUCAUCCCUGCCAUCUCACCUUCUCGUCUCUUCUUGUUCGUGCUCUGUUGGUCGAGGCUAGCAUGGCUGAUAACGUGUAAAGAUUUGAUGGAAAACUUGUGUCAUUGAUAGUUGGGCAAAGCCCUUUAUAUACAAGGAUUAGCGCCUCAAUUUGAGGCGCCUGUUACAGGAUGUGCCUGUUCGGCAUCGAGAAGGCGUCCGCACGGACGAUCGCGUCCGUACGGCGCUUUGGACACUAAUAACUCUAUUUAGGCUAAUCCUAAUGAGGCUCGUUAUGACGGUUCAGUAAGGACACGUCGUUUGAUUCUUAACACUAGGCAUAGAACCAAUGGCCC